AAGGCAUGGUGAGGUCAUUUCCUAAACUUUUCCUUAAAUCUCUCCCAACUUUCAUAAAUUGAUUCUUCUUCAAACUAGGAAAAGGAAGUGAUAACAUUUUAAAGUAU